UAGCUCGUCUUCGACAGUGAUGGGAGCUGCGUCAUCUGGAGCAGUGAUAGCUUUGUCUUUGGCUGGUGUGAAAUCUUCUGGUACUCUUUCAGCUUCUUUCUCUUUCUCUUCCUCUUGAGUUCCUUCGUCUUUGGCAGUGAUGGGAGCUGCUUCGUCUGGAACAAUGAGAUCUUUGUCUUCGCCUGGUGUGGAAACUUCUGGUACUGCUUUCUCUUUGUCUUCCUCCUGAGUUUCUGCGAGCUGAGUUCCAUCGUCUUCGGCAGUAAUGAGAGCUGCUUCGUCUAGAGCAAUGUCGCCUUUGUCUUCGGCUGGUGUUGUUGCUUCUUCCUUGUCGUUCUCGUGGAC
rnacentral:lncRNA from 1 species